rnacentral:rRNA from 1 species
UCAUAGACGCGAAACCUAGUGAUCUAGGCCUGUCCAGGCUGAAGCUGAGGUAAGACUCAGUGGAGGGCCGAACUCACCGCCGUUGAAAAGUUGGGAGAUGAGAUAGGUCUAGGGGUGAAAAGCCAAUCGAACUAGGAGAUAGCUCGUUCUCUCCGAAAUGCAUUUAGGUGCAGCCUUGGACUGAGAUAUGUGGGGGUAGAGCUCUGUAUGAUCUAGGGGGCGUACUGCUUACCGAAAUCAAGCAAACUGCGAAUACCAUAUAUCAUGUUCAGGAGUGAGUCCGUGGAUGACAAGGUCCUCGGACGAGAGGGGAACAGCCCAGACCGCCAGCUAAGGUCCCUAAUUAUGUCUAAGUGGGAAAGGAGGUGGACAUUCAUAGACAACCAGGAGGUUGGCUUAGAAGCAGCCAUACCUUGAAAGAGUGCGUAAUAGCUCACUGGUCGAGAGUGCCUGCGCCGAAGAUGUAACGGGGCUAAGACAUAAACCGAAGCUGCGGAAGAUACACUGUAUCUUGGUAGGAGAGCGUUCUGUAGGCCGUCGAAGGGAUGCCGCAAGGCCGUCCUGGAGGUAUCAGAAGCGAGAAUGCAGGAAUGAGUAGCGAGAAGGCGGGCGAGAAUCCCGCCGGCCGGAAGUCCAAGGUUUCCAGGGGAAGGCUUGUCCGCCCUGGGGAAGUCGGGACCUAAGCAUAAGCAAAAUUGUGAUGGCGAAUGGAAAACAGGUUAAUAUUCCUGUACCGCUGUUAUCGCUUGAGAGACGGAGUGACGCAGGAAGGUAUGCGAGAAGGCUGACGGUUUAGCCUUUCUAAGGGCCCAGCGUGGGCGUGCAGGUAAAUCCGCACGCCUAAACGUGAGACCUGACGGGGAAGUGCAUUUGCAUAAGUCGCAGAUCCUACACUGCCAAGAAAAACUUCUAUCGAUGAGAAGCAGCGCCCGUACUGUAAACCGACACAGGUGGACAGAGUGAGAAACUUAAGGCCGACAGGAUAACUCUAGCUAAGGAACUCUGCAAAAUAGCCCCGUAACUUCGGGAGAAGGGGUGCCUGACAUACCUGAAGGAGAGAAGCGCUCCCAGGGGAAACAGGCCGCAGUGAAGAGUCUCAAGCAACUGUUUACCAAAAACACAGGUCUAUGCUAAGCUGAAAGGCGACGUAUAUGGGCUGACACCUGCCCAGUGCCGGAAGGUUAAGAGGAGGAGUGAGAGCUCCGAUUUGAAGCCCCGGUGAACGGCGGCCGUAACUAUAACGGUCCUAAGGUAGCGAAAUUCCUUGUCGGGUAAGUUCCGACCUGCACGAAUGGUGAAAUGAUUUGAGAGCUGUCUUGGCUGGAGACCUGGUGAAGUUGUAAUGCCGGUGAAGAUACCGGCUACCUGCAGUAGGACGGAAAGACCCCGUGGAGCUUUACUGUAGCUUGGCAUUGGGUUCUGGCAAUGUGUGUAUAGGAUAGUUGGGAGACUAUGAUGUGAUGGCGUCAGCCAUUGCUGAGUCGCUGUUGGAAUACCAACCAUAUGCUGUCGGAAUUCUAAUCUGGCAACGGAGACAGUGCUAGGUGGGCAGUUUGACUGGGGCGGUCGCCUCCCAAAGAGUAACGGAGGCGUUCAAAGGUUCCCUCAGGCUGGAUGGAAAUCAGCCUAAGAGUGCAAACGCAUAAGGGAGCUUGACUGCAAGACUGACGGGUCGAGCAGGUACGAAAGUAGGAGUUAGUGAUCCGGCGGUUCCGUAUGGAAGGACCGUCGCUCAACGGAUAAAAGCUACCCCGGGGAUAACAGGCUGAUACUUCCCAAGAGUCCAUAUCGACGGAAGUGUUUGGCACCUCGAUGUCGGCUCGUCUCAUCCUGGGGCUGGAGAAGGUCCCAAGGGUUGGGCUGUUCGCCCAUUAAAGAGGCACGCGAGCUGGGUUCAGAACGUCGUGAGACAGUUCGGUCCCUAUCCACUGCAGGCGCCUGAAUAUUGAAAAGAUCUGACCUUAGUACGAGAGGACCGGGUUGGACAGACCUCUGAUGUAUCAGUUGUCACGCCAGUGGCAUGGCUGAGUAGUCACGUCUGGUACGGAUAACCGCUGAAAGCAUCUAAGCGGGAAGCCGACUUUGAGAUGAAUAUUCGUAGUAUCCAUAGAGAACAUAUGGUUGAUAGGCUAGGGGUGCAAGUGCAGCAAUGCAUUUAGCUGACUAGUACUAAUAUUACGUCUGCUUUUA